AUUGAACGCUGGCGGCAGGCCUAACACAUGCAAGUCGAACGGUAACAGGAAGAAGCUUGCUUCUUUGCUGACGAGUGGCGGACGGGUGAGUAAUGUCUGGGAAACUGCCUGAUGGAGGGGGAUAACUACUGGAAACGGUAGCUAAUACCGCAUAAUGUCUCAAGCCCAAAGAGGGGGACCUUCGGGCCUCUUGCCAUCGGAUGUGCCCAGAUGGCAUUAGCUAGUAGGUGGGGUAACGGCUCACCUAGGCGACGAUCCCUAGCUGGUCUGAGAGGAGGACCAGCCACACGGGAACUGAGACACGGUCCAGACUCCUACGGGAGGCAGCAGUGGGGAAUAUUGCACAAUGGGCGCAAGCCUGAUGCACCUAUGCCGCGUGUAUGAAGAAGGCCUUCGGGUUGUAAAGUACUUUCAGCGGGGAGGAAGGGAGUAAAGUUAAUACCUUUCCUCAUUGACGUUACCCGCAGAAGAAGCACCGGCUAACUCCGU
rnacentral:rRNA from 1 species